AGGAGUGGAGCCUGCGGCUUAAUUUGACUCAACACGGGAAACCUCACCAGGCCCGGACACCGGAAGGAUUGACAGAUUGAGAGCUCUUUCUUGAUUCGGUGGGUGGUGGUGCAUGGCCGUUCUUAGUUGGUGGAGCGAUUUGUCUGGUUAAUUCCGAUAACGAACGAGACUCUAGCCUGCUAAAUAGGCGUAACUUUCCGGUAUCUCGAAGGCUCACAUCUUUCGGUAUGCCGUGUAUGCGUGUCGCUUGAACACAUUCAUCUUCGGGUGGAUGAUGGGCAUCGGCCGUAUGCCGGUCGGAAGUUUGUGUGGUUUUUACUACCGGCGUACAAUUAAUUCUUCUUAGAGGGACAGGCGGCUUUCAGCCGCACGAGAUUGAGCAAUAACAGGUCUGUGAUGCCCUUAGAUGUUCUGGGCCG
rnacentral:rRNA from 1 species